rnacentral:lncRNA from 1 species
AAAUGAUUUCAUUUAUUGUUAAGUAGCAUGUUCUUCAUCUUGUGACUUUUUUUUGCUUUAAAAUAAUUCUGAUAUGAAGUGUGUAUGUAUAUCUGCUGUUUGUCUUUGUUGGACUUGAAAAGUGAGAGGCUCAAAGGAGGAUGGCCUGCCUUUUGAGUUGGAAAGCUCUUCAUGGAGCUGGCAAAGAGGUGGUAUGUCAAAUGGGUGGCAGGAAGAUCAAAAAUGGCCUGAGGCUGCAUUUCUCUAGACAGAUGGGUAGCCUUACCAAUCCAGGCCAGACUCCCUGGUUUCCGUGGAUGGGACUGCUGUAUUGCUAUUUGGAAAAGGAUAAUUGAUUGCCUAUUUGGCGAUUUUGUAUCCUGUCAUACAUCCCUAAGCUAUUUUAGUGGUUUAAUCAUGCAAAUUAAAAUAAUUUCAUAAGAUUUUCUGUUUGUUAUAUGAAAUUAGUCACCUAUUUUCCCCUGUUGACCUGUUUUUUUUUUCUUAGCAUUGAAAAAUUCCCUCCUGGAAUGUUGCUCCUUCUUGCAUGCCUUUGAUCUUGACAUGUCUUUGCUCUUGGCAUGCCUAGCCAACUCCCACUCAUUCUUCAAAGCCCAGCUUGUGAAUCUUCCUUUGCAGGCAGCACCCAGCUACUUGUGGACUCUUGCUUUGCCUGUUCCCCAGAGUCUAACACUUUCCCGAAAGGGGAGCACAGGAGCGGAACUGAUGGCAGCUCUUCCGACAGCCAGGCCCCAGGUGAGCUGUGCUUCUCUCUUCCUUUCUCAAGAUGUGAGAAUAUUGCUGUUACCUGAGGAUUGCUCAUGGCUCCUUCACGCAGCAUCUCUUACUGUGGUGUUGAAUCCAGUGACCUGAGCCCUGGUUCCCUCUCUUGGAGUAGAGGACAUAGCUAUUGUUACUGUCGCUUCGUGAAUUGGAAAACUGUGUUUCAGAAUCUUAGAAAAUUUGGCUUUGUGACUCCUAGUCAGGUGUAACUUAGGUUUACUUGUCCCUGUAUUUCUACUCCCUCUACCCAACUCCCCCUCCCCAGCGUGCAAGUGUGCGCGCGCGCGCGCACACACACACACACACACACACACACACACUCCAAACCCUUAGCCACCUUGUCCUAACCUUUCUGGGGCUGCUCACUUUGCCCCUAGUCCUGGGUCAGGCUGGUGGGAUUAUCCAUGGGGGCAGCAGGAACCUUUUCUUUUAGGAGUUGGUGACAUUUGAGGAUGUGGCCGUGUAUCUCACAAAAGAGGAAUGGGGACAACUGGGCCCUGCUCAAAGGAAGCUCUACAGGGACGUGAUGCUGGAGAAUUAUGAGAAUGUCAUUUCACUGGGUAAGGACCCCCUCCAGCCUCACCACUGGAGGCACAAUCUCUUCUUUGGUUUCCCUUUUUGUUAACAGCUGUGUGUAUAAAUAUCUGGGAAAAGUGGUACCAAUAACCCUUCGAGUCCAGGAUUCUGCCUUUGGCAACCAGAGGCACCAGGGGUCAAUGGGCAGGAAUGUAUAAUAGUUUUUCUCCGUGAUAUGGACUACUGAAGGCUAGGGAUAGUCCUAAAUCUCCUUAGCUAAAAAUAUUAAUUAUAGACUGUUUUUUUAGACUUCAUAAAUAAUUUUGAGGAUGAAAUGGCAAGUUUGUUUCACUUUUGUUUCAGAGGCAGGUCAGUAUUAUCUUGUUUCUGUGGCCUCUCACAUUGGUUGGGUACAUGAGAUGCUAAAUAGAGUUUGGUCACCACACCUACAGAAAGACACGGAAAACCUGGAGAAGAUUCAAGGGAUGUGGCAGUUUCCACAUGAGAAGUGACUUGGAGAUAAAAGGUAGUAGGCAGGGAUAGGAUGUGACUGAAGAUUAUAAACCAUGAGAGAUAGGAAUGAAGGCUAGAAUGAGGCUCUACUCCCUUUCUUGUUAGUUAUUAAAAUUUUUUUCACUUAUUAAUCAUUUUUCUCCCUCUUACCCACCUCCCCACUGGAAAAAAGAAAAACAAAGCUCUUGUAACAAAUGAGCAGAGUCAAAUGAAACAAAUUAUCUAAUUGGCGGUGUCCAAAACCUUAGGCCUCAUUCUCUGCCCUGGGUCAACUGCCCUGUUGAGAGGUGGGUAGCAUACGUCAUUAUCAGGUUUCUUGAAUUAUGCCUGCCCCUUGAGUGGUCAAAGAGCUAGGUCAUUUGAGGCCAAACUAAAGGAAGUAAGGACUGCUUUACAUCCAACACUAUUACACUGAAUGCUUUUUGAAAGUCCACAAACUUGAAUUGAAUUCUUCCUAUAUUCUUCUAUGUGUAAAGUAGGACUUCCUUUUGUCUUAACACUUGCUCCUCUCUUUUAAAUUUAAGGUAGAGUAUCCCCCUUUUCACUCUGAUAACAUCCCCUAUUGGGUUUGCUCUUCAGACCAAAGAAAAAUUAUCUUUUUAGUGUCUUUGCAUGAAGGACACACUGUCACUUCUCCUUGAUCAUCAUUAUCAUUGACUUCCUUCGUAGCCUUUAGUCUUUUUCUGCUUGUGUGUGGUGGUGGUGGUGGUGGUGGUCCAGGUGUCUCUGAACUGCUACCAUUUAGAGUCAGAGAACAGAGAGGAUUUUCAAAUCAUUGUGCUGGAAGGGCCUAUAGACCUUAUCUCAUUUAAGCCUCUCAUUUCACAGAGGAGAUGGAGGCUCCAAAAGGGUAAGUUAUUUGCCUGAGCUUCUGCAACUAAUUGGAACCUGGAUCUCUUAAUUUAAAGUACUCUGUUUCUUCUACUGUGGAGUCUUUGAAACAUUUUGUUAACAUUUUAAAAUUCAAUUAAUUUUGUGGGAUGGUGAAGAGGUAGUGUGGCGUAAUGGAUAGAGCACGGCCUUGGAGUUAGGAAGCCCUGGGUUCAGGUUCUUCCUCUGACCCUUGCUGGGGCUCUAUGAUGCUGGGCAAGUUACUUAACUUUUCAGUGGCCCAGGUAAGUCACUUCAGUUUCAGACCAAGUGCUGAUCUUCAUUGGUAGAACCUCGAGUUUCCUAAGCCCAUGAAAUCUCAGGUGAGAUGGUUAUCCCAAGCCCAGUUAACUUUAGAUUGUAGUAGCAGAGAGGAUUCUUAUGGUAAACCUUGCUCUGGGUAGGUAUUCUUCAUCUAGACCCUCCUAGUCUUCUCUCUGUAAAAUCCCUGGACACAAUCUGGCUGGGACGGAGCUCUGGGGCAGCUCUGGGUCGAUCCUAAGACCAAAUGGCCACAUGUGGCUUCCUUUCCCACAAGCAGGAUUUCCUGUUUCCAAACCUGACCUGAUCUCCCAGCUGGAGCGAGGGGAAGUACCAUGCUUGCCAGAUGUGCCCAGAACUGAGGUUCCAGAGACCCAUGGUGGUGAGUGAAUACACAGCAGCCUAGUUGUUCAAUGGGGUGGGGCCAGUUGUUUGAUUUAUGCAUCAGCGUGGUCUCCUUGAUGCUGCUUUGAUCUGUCCAAGUGAAAGGUGUCAUUAUGCUUAACGGUGCCUUCCUUUCCAUUUCUUCUCCUGGUCAUCUCUUCCUUAGACCCCAGUGAUUGCUAUCCCAUACCUUUCAUUCCAUCAGAGAAAAAGACUACCUCUUUCCCCCAAUUUUGGAGUGUUUGGGGAAUAUACAGUUGAUGCUAGGAUAGAUGGAGCUUGUCUGGGCUUGGGUGUAAAUGUCCAAGCUUACAGAUCAGACUUGUAAAAAAGAAACUUGGGUUAAAUAUUGUCUCAUUAGGAAAGACAUUUUUUGUAAAAGUCAUUUAUGCAUUAGGAAAGAACCUAAGGCUAUUCCACCUGUGGUAACUAGAUAAAUAGAUAGAUCAGGAGAGCUUCCUAUAUGCCAGGCAUUGUUCUAAGAGCUGGAAGCUAGAAGCAAGCAAGACAGUUAAUACUAAAUUAUAUUGGACUAAAGCUCAUAUUUCUUAGUUGUAAAAAAAAUCCUUGAAGUCAUCCCAUUAUAAUAAAGGUUAUUUGUCCUUGUCUGGCUGAUGGUCU